rnacentral:rRNA from 1 species
AUUGAACGCUGGCGGCAGGCUUAACACAUGCAAGUCGAACGAGUGGCGGACGGGUGAGUAAUGAUUGGGAAUCUGGCUUAUGGAGGGGGAUAACUACGGGAAACUGUAGCUAAUACCGCGUACCAUAGGAUGAGCCCAAGUGGGAUUGUGUAGUUGGUGGGGUAAAGGCUAACCAAGCCGACGCUCCCGAGCUGGUCUGAGAGGAUGACCAGCCACACUGGGACUGAGACACGGCCCAGACUCCUACGGGAGGCAGCAGUGGGGAAUAUUGCGCAAUGGGGGCAACCUGACGCAGCCAGGCCGCGUGAAUGAAGAAGGCCUUCGGGUUGUAAAGUUCUUUCAGUAGGGAGGCGUUAACUACAGAAGAAGCACCUGCUAACUCCGUGCCAGCAGCCGCGGUAAUUC